rnacentral:rRNA from 1 species
UCCGUAGGUGAACCUGCGGAAGGAUCAUUACCGAGUGCGGGUCCUUUGGGCCCAACCUCCCACCCGUGUCUAUUGUACCCUGUUGCUUCGGCGGGCCCGCCGCUUGUCGGCCGCCGGGGGGAUGCUCGCUGAUAGCCGCUCCGUGCCCGCCGGAGACACCAACACGAACACUGUCUGAAAUCGUGAAGUCUGAGUCGAUUGUUUUCAAUCAGUUAAAACAUGCCUCGUGAGAUCUCUUGGUUCCGGCAUCGAUGAAGAACGCAGCGAAAUGCGAUAACUAAUGUGAAUUGCAGAAUUCAGUGAAUCAUAGGCUCCGUGAACGCACAUUGCGCCCCCUGGUAUUCCGGGGGGCAUGCCUGUCCGAGCGAUGCCUGCUGAGGAAAGCCCGGCUUGUGUGUUGGGUCGCCGUCCCCCUGUCUGGGAUGCCUGCUGCGAAAGGCAGCGGCGGCACCGCGUCCGAUCCUCGAGCGUAUGGGGCUUUGUCACAUGCUCUGUAGGAUUGGCCGGCGCCUGCCGACAACUCCAUGCGCUCGCUGAUGGUUGACCUCGGAUCAGGUAGGGAUACCCGCUGAACUUAAGCAUAUCAAUAAGCGGA